CUCGUAGGCGGUUCGUCGCGUCCGGUGUGAAAGUCCAUCGCUUAACGGUGGAUCCGCGCCGGGUACGGGCGGGCUUGAGUGCGGUAGGGGAGACUGGAAUUCCCGGUGUAACGGUGGAAUGUGUAGAUAUCGGGAAGAACACCAAUGGCGAAGGCAGGUCUCUGGGCCGUCACUGACGCUGAGGAACGAAAGCGUGGGGAGCGAACA
rnacentral:rRNA from 1 species